rnacentral:rRNA from 1 species
GACGAACGCUGGCGGCGUGCCUAAUACAUGCAAGUAGGACGCAGUUGCGAACGGGUGAGUAACGCGUAGGUAACUGCCUAUUAGAGGGGGGUAACUAUUGGAUACGAUAGCUAAUACCGCAUACUAGUAGAUGGACCUUCGUUGUAUUAGCUAGUAGGUAGGGGAAUGGCCUACCUAGGCAACGAUACAUAGCCGAACCGUGUGGGGUAUCGGCCCCACCGGGAAUGAGACAAGGGCCAGAACUCUAACGGAGGGCGCCGUUGGGAAGUUUCGGCAAAUGGGGGAACCCUGAACGGGCAACGGCGCGUGAGUGGAGAAGGUUUUCGGAUCGUAAAGCCCUUUUGUUAAGGAAGCGGUACUUAACCAGAAAGGGACGGCUAACUACGUGCCAGCAGCCGCGGUAAUUC